rnacentral:rRNA from 1 species
GUCGAGAGGCUUCGGCAAUGGGGGAAACCCUGACCGAGCGACGCCGCGUGAGGGAUGAAGCCCUUCGGGGUGUAAACCUCUUUUCUGGGGGAAGAAACCCAUGGGAGCGAACAGGUCCCAUGACUGACGGUACCCCAGGAAUAAGCUCCGGCUAACUCCGUGCCAGCAGCCGCGGUAAUACGGGGGGAGCAAACGUUGUUCGGAAUCACUGGGCGUAAAGGGCGCGCAGGCGGUCCGGUAAGUGGUGUGUGAAAUGCCCUGGCUCAACCAGGGAACUGCGCUCCAAACUGCCGGACUUGAGGUCAGUAGAGGAAGCUGGAAUUCCAGGUGUAGCGGUGAAAUGCGUAGAUAUCUGGAGGAACACCGUUGGCGAAGGCGAGCUUCUGGGCUGAACCUGACGCUGAGGCGCGAAAGCUGGGGGAGCAAACAGGAUUAGAAACCCUUGUAGUCC